CCUACGGGUGGCAGCAGUGGGGGAUAUUGCACAAUGGGGGAAACCCUGAUGCAGCGACGCCGCGUGGGCGAAGAAGUAUUUCGGUAUGUAAAGCCCUAUCAGCAGGGAAGAAGAAAUGACGGUACCUGAGUAAGAAGCACCGGCUAAAUACGUGCCAGCAGCCGCGGUAAUUCGUAUGGUGCAAGCGUUAUCCGGAUUUACUGGGUGUAAAGGGAGCGCAGGUGGCACGGCAAGCCUGAUGUGAAAGCCCGGGGGCCAACCGCGGGACUGCAUUUGGAACGACCGGGCUGGAGUGCCGGAGAGGUAGGCGGAAUGCCUGGUGUAGCGGUGAAAUGCGUAGAUAUUAGGAGGAACACCAGUGGCGAAGGCAGCCUACUGGACGGUGACUGACGCUGAGGCUCGAAAGCGUGGGGAGCGAACAGGAUUAGAUACCCCAGUAGUC
rnacentral:rRNA from 1 species